rnacentral:rRNA from 1 species
AAAUAAUAUUUAUUUAUUAAUUAAAUUAUUUUUUAAAUUUUAAAUUAUUAAAAAUAAUUAUAAAAUUAUUAAUGUUUUAGUAUGUUAUAUAGAAUAAAUAAAUUUAAUAAUAGUAUAUUAGUAUUGUGAAAUAAAAUUGAAAUAUAAUGAAAAAUUUUUAUUAUAAAAGAAAAUUUUAUUUAUUGUAUCUUGUGUAUCAGAGUUUAUUAAAUAAAAAAUAUAUAUAUUAUUAUAUUUUUCUCGAUUUUAAAAGAUUUAAUAAAUUAUAAAAUUUAAUGUAAUAAAAUUAUUUUAAAUAAUUUAUUAGAAAUGAAAUGUUAUUCGUUUUUAAAUAUAUCUAGUUUUUUAAGAAAUAAAUUUAAUUUAAUUUUAAAAAUUUAUUUAUUUAAUUAAUAUUAAUUAAAUAAUUUUUAAAUUUUAUAUUUUAUGGGAUAAGCUAUAAAAUAAAUUUUUAUAAAUAAUAAAUAAAAUUUAAAAUAUUAUAUGUUUAGAAUUAUCAAUUUUUAUUAAAUUUGUUAUAAAUUAAUUUUUGUAAUUAAAUUAUUUAUUAUAUUUUAAAUUUUUAUUAAAAUAUUUAUUUAAAUUAUAAAAAUAAAGUAAUAAUGAUGUAAUUAGUAUAUUAUUAAUAUAAAAAUAUAUUUUUUAAUGUUAAGUUUAUGUAAAGAAUUCGGCAAAAAUAAUAUUCGCCUGUUUAACAAAAACAUGUCUUUUAGAAAUUAAUUUAAAGUCUAACCUGCCCAAUGAAUUUUUUUAAUGGCCGCAGUAUUUUAACUGUGCAAAGGUAGCAUAAUCAUUAGUCUUUUAAUUGAAGGCUGGAAUGAAUGGUUGGACGAAAUAUUAACUGUUUCAUUUAAAAUUAUAAUAGAACUUUAUUUUUUAGUCAAAAAGCUAAAAUAUUAUUAAAAGACGAGAAGACCCUAUAAAUCUUUAUAUAUUUAUUAUUUUAAUUUUUAAGAUUAAUUUAAUUAUAAUAAAAAAAUAUAUUUUAUUGGGGUGAUAUUAAAAUUUAAUAAACUUUUAAAAUUUAACUCAUUAAUUUAUGAAUAAUUGAUCCAUUUUUAAUGAUUAUAAAAUUAAGUUACUUUAGGGAUAACAGCGUAAUUUUUUUGGAGAGUUCAUAUUGAUAAAAAAGAUUGCGACCUCGAUGUUGGAUUAAGAUAUAAAUUUAGGUGCAGCAGUUUAAAUUUUAAGUCUGUUCGACUUUUAAAAUCUUACAUGAUCUGAGUUCAAACCGGUGUAAGCCAGGUUGGUUUCUAUCUUUAAUUAAUUAAAAUAUUUUAGUACGAAAGGAUUAAAUAUUUAAAUAAUAAUAUUUUAACAUAAAGAAUAUAAUUAAUUAAUUAAAA